AAACCGUUCAGGGGUAAACCUGAGAAACCCAAAAGAUCGAAUGGGGAGAUUCAUCGUCAACGGUGCCGGCUCCCGUUUGUGCGCGAUGCUCCGAAUGGGCUCUCGUGGUUCCAUGGCGAGGGCACGCCACUUUCGGCCUGAACGUUCCGGCACCGUAGUCGUGCACUUCUCCCCUAGUAGAACGUCGCGACCCGUUGCGUGUCGGUCUACGGCCCGAGCGGGCACCUGUCGCGGCGCAUUUCGCGUACGCGGCAGACCCUCGGUUGCCCGACCGGCUGCGCGACGGUACUCACACGGUAUCGGGCCGCAACCAAUCCAUUCUCGAAUGUGUGUGCGUCAGGCCCGCCGCAAGCUCGGGCAGUUUUACCCGAGGGUACGGACCUGGUGCCGUCCCCGGGCCUGACCAGCUGUUAGCAGGCGGUGUCCUCGGACUGGCCAAGCUUCGAAUUACCGGUCGGCGACGCUCCUGCUUUGGGUACUCUCAGGACCCGUCUUGAAACACGGACCAAGGAGUCUAACAUGUGCGCGAGUCAUUGGGAUGCAUAAACCUAAAGGCGCAAUGAAAGUGAAGGUCGGCCUACGCGUCGACCUAGGGAGGAUGGGCCGCGUUACGAUGCGGCCCCGCACUCCCGGGGCGUUUCGUUCUCAUUGCGAGAAGAGGCGCACCUAGAGCGUACACGUUGGGACCCGAAAGAUGGUGAACUAUGCCUGGUCAGGACGAAGUCAGGGGAAACCCUGAUGGAGGUCCGUAGCGAUUCUGACGUGCAAAUCGAUCGUCGGAACUGGGUAUAGGGGCGAAAGACUAAUCGAACCAUCUAGUAGCUGGUUCCCUCCGAAGUUUCCCUCAGGAUAGCUGGCACUCGCUCGUUCCUCCGUGAACGCGUGCGAGUCUCAUCUGGUAAAGCGAAUGAUUAGAGGCCUUGGGGCCGAAACGACCUCAACCUAUUCUCAAACUUUAAAUGGGUGAGAUCUCUGGCUUGCUUGGAUUAUGAAGCCACGAGAUUUUGGAUCAGAGUGCCAAGUGGGCCAAUUUUGGUAAGCAGAACUGGCGCUGUGGGAUGAACCAAACGCAGAGUUAAGGCGCCUAAGUCGACGCUUAUGGGAUACCAUGAAAGGCGUUGGUUGCUUAAGACAGCACGACGGUGGCCAUGGAAGUCGGAAUCCGCUA
rnacentral:rRNA from 1 species